rnacentral:tRNA from 1 species
UCCCUGAUAGCUCAGUUGGUAAAGAAUCUGCCUGCAAUGCAGAACAGGAGACCCUGGUUUGAUUCCUGGGUAGGGAA